GCGCCUGUAGCUCAACGGAUUAGAGCACUUGUCUUCGGAACAAGGGGUUGGGGGUUCGAUUCCCUCCAGGCGCG
rfam:Microgenomates group bacterium RBG_19FT_COMBO_39_10 rbg_19ft_combo_scaffold_22182, whole genome shotgun sequence.